rnacentral:rRNA from 1 species
GGAGGGUGCAAGCGUUGUUCGGAAUUACUGGGCGUAAAGCGCGUGUAGGCGGCUUCUUAUGUCAGAUGUGAAAGCCCUUGGCCCAACCAAGGAAGUGCGUCUGAAACUGAGUAGCUUGAGUACGAGAGAGGAAAAUGGAAUUCCCAGUGUAGAGGUGAAAUUCGUAGAUAUUGGGAGGAACACCAGUGGCGAAAGCGGUUUUCUGGAUCGAUACUGACGCUAAGACGCGAAAGCGUGGGGAGCAAACAGGGAUUAGAUACCCUGGUAGUCCACGCCGUAAACGAUGGAUAUUAGGUGUCGCGGACUUCUGUCUGCGGUGCCGUCGCUAACGCAUUAAAUAUCCCCGCCUGGGGAUACGGCCGCAAGGUUA